rfam:Lupinus angustifolius cultivar Tanjil chromosome LG13, whole genome shotgun sequence.
UGGCUGUGUGAUGAAUAUGGAUUUACAUUAUCUCACGACGGUCGUCUGAGAUUCACAUUGAUGUUAUCAUCCAAUGAUUCUGAUGGUU